rnacentral:rRNA from 1 species
GACGAACGCUGGCGGUGGGCUUAACACAUGCAAGUCGAACGGUGAAGCGCCAUCAGCUUGCGCGGGUGUGGGGGAGUGGCGAACGGGUGGGUAACAAGAGAGUAAUCUGCUCUCUCCUGCUGGAUAACCGCAUGAAAGUGUGGCUAAUACGGCAUACUACGUGCCUGUCGAAUGAUGGGUCUGGCGAAGCUAGCGCUACGGAGGGGGCUGAGCUCGCGGCCUAUCGGCUUGUUGGUGUGGUGCUGGCCUAGCAAGGCGGUGUAGAUUAGCCGGCCUGAGAGGAUGAGCGGUACCAGUAGGACUGAGACACGGAGCCGACUCCUACGGGAGGCAGCGGGGAGGAUUAUGGCAUGAGGGGCGCAAUGCUGAUGCAGCGACGCGGCGUGAGAGAUGGAGGUCUUCGGGUUGUGAACCUCUGUUGCGAGUGAAGCGGACCUGCCUCGUAUGUGGGUGGGUUGACGGUAGCUGGAGAAGAAGCGCCGGCUAACUACGUG